UACAGAGGUCCCGAGCGUUAGGCGGAAUCACUGGGCUUAAAGCGUGUGUAGGUGGAUCGUUAAGUACCUUGUGAAAUCCCACAGCUUAACUGUGGAACUGCUCGGUAUAAUGCUGGUCUUGAGCCACUCAGGGGCUACCGGAACAAAUGGUGGAGCGGUGAAAUGCGUAGAUAUCAUUUGGAACGCCAAUGGUGAAAACAGGUAGCUGGGGGUGUGCUGACGCUGAGACACGAAAGCCAGGGGAGCAAACGGG
rnacentral:rRNA from 1 species